GAUGAACGCUAGCGGCAGGCUUAAUACAUGCAAGUCGUGGGGCAGCAUGAAUGUAGCAAUACAUUUGAUGGCGACCGGCAAACGGGUGCGGAACACGUACACAACCUUCCGAUAAGUGGGGAAUAGCCCAGAGAAAUUUGGAUUAAUACCCCGUAACAUAUAGAGGUGGCAUCAUCUUUAUAUUAUAGCUACGGCGCUUAUUGAUGGGUGUGCGGCUGAUUAGAUAGUUGGCGGGGUAACGGCCCACAAAGUCUACGAUCAGUGGCUGAUUUGAGAUCAACAUCAACCGCACGGGCAAAGAGACACGGGCCUAACUCCUACGGGAGGCAUAGGUAAGGAAUAUGAGUCAAUGAACGGAAGGCUUAACCAGCCAUGCCGCGUGAAGGUUUAAGGUCCUCUGGAUUAUAAACUUAUUUUAUAUGGGACGAAAAAAGGCGAUUCUUCGUCACUUGACGGUACCAGAUGAAAAAGCACCGGCUAACUCCGUGCCAGCCGCCGCCGUAA
rnacentral:rRNA from 1 species